AGGAGACAAGUGGACCAGCGAGUGCUAGGGGACAGUCCUUAGAAAGCGUUGAGUGAGCGCAUCAUUAGAUGCAUUUAUGCCAAGCUCAGGGUGCUGUCUGCAUAGUAUGCCCUUAGUUGGCCAGAUGCAUGAUUGGCAGGCAGCCUGACAUGCAUUCAUGCCAGACUGCCUUCUAAUUCUUUGGGCAGACAUGUCCUCUUUUUGGGCAUGUUCGCCCCUUUUGGCAGGUUACGUGAUUUGUGUCAAUGGCACACCCUUUUACCUUCCUGUUUGACUGGACACUGUUGUUAGGGGUUAUGGAUUUACUUGAAAAAUGAAAACAUAAAUUAGAGAGAGAUUAGCCUAGGGUAUGCGUUUUCUUAUACCUGCUGUUUUCUAUCUCUCCAGCACCAUCUCCAUCAGAUACAUGACGCUUGGGAGGUUUUACUGUUUUUGGUCGAUAUGAUUCUGUAAUUAGGCCCGUCAUAAUUGUCAGCACCAGGCCCACUGGGCUCUUAAUCUGGCCCUGG